GAGGCUGUGGGUAGGGGACGGGGGUAGGAGACAGUGGGUAGGAGAUAGGAGACAGUGGGUAGGAGACUGGGGGUAGGGGACUGUGGGUAGGGGACUGUGGGUAGGAGAAGGGGUAGGAGACAGUGGGUAGGGAUAGGAGACAUGGGUAGGGGACUGUGGGUAGGGGACUGUGGGUAGGGGACUGUGGGUAGGGGACAGUGGGUAGGGGACAGGGGGUAGGGGACAGUGGGCAGGAGGCUGUGGGUAGGAGGCUGUGACAGAAAUAAAAUAACAAUAAAUCGGUUCUUCUGUCUCAGACAAUAAAUAACCAUCAAAACCAUUUAAAAUAGGCAAACAUUUAUUUUAGGGACUUAAAAAAAGAAAGUUGGAUGUGUCUGACUUAUUUCCCCCCCCAGGGUGAAGGAGACGUGUCAAUGAAAGUUUGUCAUCACGUGGAAUUAAAAUCCGCCCCGGCAACAAGGAAAGCAGGUCCGGGACCAGGCUAAUUAAUUGCAUGGGACAAUAAAGCUGGAAUCUUUAAUGGGUGAACUAAAGACGUUACUGUAAAAACCAACACGUGUUCUUUCCCCCUCAGACAUCAUUAUAACCAACACUGUUCUUUCCCCCUCAGACAUCAUUACAACCAACACUGUUCUUUCCCCCCUCAGACAUCAUUACAACCAACACUGUUCUUUCCCCCUCAGACAUCAUUACAACCAACACUGUUCUUCCCCCCUCAGCAUCUUCAACCAACACUGUCUUUCCUCCCCCUCAGACAUUGCAUGGGUGACA
rnacentral:lncRNA from 1 species